rnacentral:rRNA from 1 species
GACGGGGGCCCGCACACGAGGAACAUGUGGUUUAAUUCGAUGAUACGCGAGGAACCUUACCCGGGCUUGAAAGUUAGUGACGGACUGUGAAAGCGGUCUUCCCUUCGGGCACGAAACUAGGUGCUGCAUGGUUGUCGUCAGCUCGUGCCGUGAGGUGUCGGCUUAAGUGCCAUAACGAGCGCAACCCUUGCCGUUAGUUGCCAGCGGGUGAUGCCGGGAACUCUAGCGGGACUGCUACUGUAAGGUAGAGGAAGGUGGGGAUGACGUCAAAUCAGCACGGCCCUUACGUCCGGGGCGACACACGUGUUACAAUGGUGAGUACAGAGGGUUGCUACCACGCGAGUGGAUGCUAAUCUCAUAAAACUCAUCUCAGUUCGGAUCGGAGUCUGCAACUCGACUCCGUGAAGCUGGAUUCGCUAGUAAUCGCGCAUCAGCCAUGGCGCGGUGAAUACGUUCCCGGGCCUUGUACACACCGCCCGUCAAGCCAUGGAAGCUGGGGGUACCUAAAGUCUGCAACCGCAAGGAGCGGCCUAGGGUAAAACUGGUAACUGGGGCU